CCCCGUGGACACAAAAUAUAACUCGGAUUUCCGCUUGCACCCACUAAAAUUACCCAUUCGUGCAGAGGGGCUCUUCUGCAGACUGGCAACCGAAGAAUUGGAUGGGUAUAUACAGCUUUGUCCAGAUCCUUCAUUCAGAGAAUGUCAGGAGUAACUCUUUAGCUUAUGUUUAUUUAGAUAUAGAGUUGCCAAAGGAGGAAACCCUGGUUGAAUAAAGCCCCUGAAAAGCAUCAGAUAGAAGUCAAUAUCAGUGGUGGCAGAACAAACCCCGAAGGCUAUUUUAGAGCUUCUGAGCAAAAGCUCACUUGUUCCAUAUUUGGACUUUAAAAUUUCCAACAACAGAAAAUUAGAAUGUUUGAGAAUGCAAUGAUUGGUAGCUUCAAUGCCCACAGUGUUUUGCCCCCAGUUAAUCAAACAACGACU
rnacentral:sRNA from 1 species